rnacentral:rRNA from 1 species
AUUGAACGCUGGCGGCAGGCCUAACACAUGCAAGUCGAGCGGAGCGGCGGACGGGCGAGUAAUGCCUAGGAAUCUGACUGGUAGUGGGGGAUAACGUCCGGAAACGGGCGCUAAUACCACAUCCUAUAUGAUGGGCCUAGCUCGGAUUAGCUAGUUGGUGGGGUAAAGGCCUACCAAGGCGACGAUCCGUAACUGGUCUGAGAGGAUGAUCAGUCACACUGGAACUGGGACACGGUCCAGACUCCUACGGUAGGGAGCAGUGGGGAAUAGUGGACAAUGGGCGAAAGCCUGAUCCAACCAUGCCGCGUGUGUGAAGAAGGCCUUCGGAUUGUAAAGCACUUUAAGUUGGGAGACGUUACCCGCAGAAGAAGCACCGGCUAACUCCGUGCCAGCAGCCGCGGUAAUUC